CAAAGAGGGUAAAAACCCCGUAGACGAAAUGUGGAAGACACCUAGGAGGAUCCUGAGUACGGCGGAACACGAGAAAUUCCGUCGGAAUCCGGGAGGACCAUCUCCCAAGGCUAAAUACUCCCUAGUGACCGAUAGUGAACCAGUACCGUGAGGGAAAGGUGAAAAGCACCCCGGAAGGGGAGUGAAAUAGAACCUGAAACCGUGUGCCUACAACAAGUCAAAGCCCGUUAAUGGGUGAUGGCGUGCCUUUUGUAGAAUGAACCGGCGAGUUACGAUUGCAUGCGAGGUUAAGUUGAAGAGACGGAGCCGCAGCGAAAGCGAGUCUGAAUAGGGCGUUUGAGUAUGUAGUCGUAGACCCGAAACCAUGUGAUCUACCCAUGUCCAGGUUGAAGGUGCGGUAAAACGCACUGGAGGACCGAACCCACGUACGUUGAAAAGUGCGGGGAUGAGGUGUGGGUAGCGGAGAAAUUCCAAACGAACUUGGAGAUAGCUGGUUCUCUCCGAAAUAGCUUUAGGGCUAGCCUCGGAAUUGAGAAUGAUGGAGGUAGAGCACUGUUUGGACUAGGGGCCCAUCUCGGGUUACCGAAUUCAGAUAAACUCCGAAUGCCAUUCAUUCAUAUCCGGGAGUCAGACUGUGAGUGAUAAGAUCCAUAGUCGAAAGGGAAACAGCCCAGACCACCAGCUAAGGUCCCAAAAUAUAUGUUAAGUGGAAAAGGAUGUGGGGUUGCACAGACAACUAGG
rnacentral:rRNA from 1 species